rnacentral:rRNA from 1 species
GACGAACGCUGGCGGCGUGCUUAACACAUGCAAGUCGAACGGAAAGGCCCUGCUUGCAGGGUGCUCGAGUGGCGAACGGGUGAGUAACACGUGGGUGAUCUGCCCCUUACUUUGGGAUAAGCCUGGGAAACUGGGUCUAAUACUGGAUAGGACCAUGCUGUAGGUGGUGUGGUGGAAAGAUUAGUUUCGGUAAGGGAUGAGCUCGCGGCCUAUCAGCUUGUUGGUGGGGUAAUGGCCUACCAAGGCGUCGACGGGUAGCCGGCCUGAGAGGGUGGACGGCCACAUUGGGACUGAGAUACGGCCCAGACGCCUACGGGAGGCAGCAGUGGGGAAUAUUGCACAAUGGGCGCAAGCCUGAUGCAGCGACGCCGCGGGGGGGAUGACGGCCUUCGGGUUGUAAACUCCUUGCAGCCAUGACGAAGCCCUUGUGGUGACGGUAGUGGUAGAAGAAGCACCGGCUAACUACGUG